GUGUGAGAACUAUGAUGAUGCAGUUACUGCUGAAACAAACCCAAACAUCAUCACAGAAGAUGAAGAUGAAGAUGAUGAUGAUGAUGUGAUCAGUGAGGAACAGGAUGUAGGAGAGACAGGAAAAUGUGAUGAGGUGGAGGAGAAAUCUCAGAAAAACAGGGACCAUGUGACUGAGACACGCCACCAAAGGCCUUUUCUCAGGAAAUUACAUUUCAACUUUUACAAAGACAAAAAAUGAUUUGAUUCUACUUCCAAUAAUGUCAUGUUUUCUGAAUGGUGUUGAUUCUCCCCCUAGUUAUUAGUAAAUAGAGUAGUGAGAGUUCAAUCCCCUUUCAUAUGACUUCAUGCAAAAUCUCCAGCUUUUCCUUUCCUACACUUUUAAUGCUAUAAGUCAACUUCAAUAUCACUGUCACACCACAACUCAUUUAUCACAACAAUUCUUUCAUCAAAACUGCUCUGAUUUUCAUCUUCAUGUUUUCCAUUCAUCAACUUCUUAUUCAGUGUGUUUAGAAAUGUGUUAGUGACUAUAAACCACUUCACAACUAACAAAAAGCUUUUUAUUCCUUAAAACUAUACUUUUUUAUUCAGUUCAAACAAAGACACAUUUACAUUUCUGUUCAAUUCUGUGUUUUUAACUCCAAACUAUAGAAAUUAAUUGGAUUCCAGAAUUCCUUUAUGAAAUAUUCACACUAUGACAUGCUAAUUAGAUUAGCCUGCUAUAUUGCAGUGUUUAUUCGCUAGCUGGAUAUGCUGCAAGUCAGAUCUAGUAGAUGUCAUUAGUGUAAAUAUAGAAACAGUUUUAUAAAGUUUUCUCAGAUUUACAUUGGAGUUCCUCAGGUUUCAUUCAGGAUUCUCUCGUUUCUUUUCUUCUUCUCAGGACUUUGUUUUAUAAUCUCAGCUUUAAUUCAAUAUUCUCACUUUUGAAAUGAGUGAAUGAAGGUUCAUUUUAAUAUUAAAUUCUAUUAAACUAUAGAUUCAG